UACGAAGGGGGCUAGCGUUGCUCGGAAUCACUGGGCGUAAAGGGUGCGUAGGCGGGUCUUUAAGUCAGGGGUGAAAUCCUGGAGCUCAACUCCAGAACUGCCUUUGAUACUGAGGAUCUUGAGUACGGGAGAGGUGAGUGGAACUGCGAGUGUAGAAGUGAAAUUCGUAGAUAUUCGCAAGAACACCAGUGGCGAAGGCGGCUCACUGGCCCGUAACUGACGCUGAGGCACGAAAGCGUGGGGAGCAAACAGG
rnacentral:rRNA from 1 species